rnacentral:rRNA from 1 species
UACAGAGGUCUCAAGCGUUGUUCGGAUACAUUGGGCGUAAAGGGUGCGUAGGUGGCGCCGUAAGUCAGGUGUGAAAUUUCGGAGCUUAACUCCGAAACUGCAUUUGAUAUUGCGGUGCUUGAGGACUGGAGAGGAGACUGGAAUUCACGGUGUAGCAGUGAAAUGCGUAGAUAUCGUGAGGAAGACCAGUGGCGAAGGCGGGUCUCUGGACAGUUCCUGACACUGAGGCACGAAGGCCAGGGGAGCAAACGGG